rnacentral:rRNA from 1 species
GAUGAACGCUGGCGGCGUGCCUAAUACAUGCAAGUCGAGCGAACAGACGAGGAGCUUGCUCCUCUGACGUUAGCGGCGGACGGGUGAGUAACACGUGGAUAACCUACCUAUAAGACUGGGAUAACUUCGGGAAACCGGAGCUAAUACCGGAUAAUAUAUUGAACCGCAUGGUUCAAUAGUGAAAGACGGUUUUGCUGUCACUUAUAGAUGGAUCCGCGCCGCAUUAGCUAGUUGGUAAGGUAACGGCUUACCAAGGCAACGAUGCGUAGCCGACCUGAGAGGGUGAUCGGCCAAACUGGACCUGAGACAGGGCCCAGCCUCCUACGGGAGGCAGCAGUAGGAAAUCUUCCGCAAUGGGCGAAAGCCUGACGGAGCAACGCCGCGUGAGUGAUGAAGGUCUUCGGAUCGUAAAACUCUGUUAUUAGGGAAGAACAAAUGUGUAAGUAACUAUGCACGUCUUGACGGUACCUAAUCAGAAAGCCACGGCUACCUACGU